rnacentral:rRNA from 1 species
UACAGAGGGGGCAAGCGUUAUUCGGAAUUAUUGGGCGUAAAGGGCGCGUAGGCGGCUUGGCAAGUGGAUGGUGAAAUCCCUCGGCUUAACCGAGGAACUGCCGUCCAAACUGCUUCGCUUGAGACCGGGAGAGGUGAGUGGAAUUCCCAGUGUAGCGGUGAAAUGCGUAGAUAUUGGGAGGAACACCAGUGGCGAAGGCGACUUCCUGGCCUGUUCUUGACGCUGAGGCGCGAAAGCUAGGGUAGCAAACGGG